rnacentral:rRNA from 1 species
UACGUAGGGGGCAAGCGUUGUCCGGAAUCAUUGGGCGUAAAGCGCGUGUAGGCGGCCCGGUAAGUCCGCUGUGAAAGUCGGGGGCUCAACCCUCGGAUGCCGGUGGAUACUGUCGGGCUAGAGUGCGGGAGAGGUGAGUGGAAUUCCUGGUGUAGCGGUGAAAUGCGCAGAUAUCAGGAGGAACACCAAUUGCGAAGGCAGCUCGCUGGAACGUUACUGACGCUGAGACGCGAAAGCGUGGGGAGCAAACAGG